rnacentral:lncRNA from 1 species
UGGCAUUAUUUUGCAAUUUCAUUUAAAACAUAAACAGAAAUCAAAUUUCUUUAGGGAUGGCAAGACUUUGUGGCUCUUAUUUUGCCCUCAUUUUAUUUGCUCUUUUAGGUAUGUGCUAUAUAUAUAUAUAUAUAUAUAUAUAUAUAUAUAUAUAUUAUAUUGAAUAAAUCAAAUUAUUUUAAAUUUACUUUUUUCUAAACAAAUUGACAAAUUAAUAAUUUCUAAAUCCAAAUUUUUGGCCCAAUAAUUUGUUUUAUUUCUAAUUUUUUAAUUUUUUGCCCAAUUACCCAUUUUAUUAUUUCAUUUCUUAGUCCAACAAGAUCCAACCCACUAACUAACCCUAAACACCUACACUAAAGUGCAUGACGAUGUCUCGACUCUCGUACUCACUCUUGCAGCUUCCUUGAUAUUCCAAAACCUAUAUAAUCGCCGGUCAACGCUAUGAUCUCUGAUCGAAGCUGUGACCUCCAUCGAUCGAAAUUUUGACCAUAGCAAUUAUUUGAAUAAGGCAAUCUACUAGUUUUUGACAUUCAAAAACCAUUAAUGUGUCAUUAGUUGUAUUUAUAUAAUGUUGUUAUAAAUGUUAAAAAAUUUAAUUAUAGUACGGAACCGGAUCGAAUUGAACCGAAGGGAACCAAACCCGAAUGGUUUCAUAAUUAUAUUUAGACCCGACGGUUCCAUUUAUUAGAUAUCCGAAAAUUUUGAGAACCGAACCGAACCGACCCGACCCACACCCACGUCUAAUUAUAAGUGCACUCCACAGCCUUAAAACACUAUAGAUUAAUAUAUUAUUUAUAAAUUAAUAAAUUAGCAAUUAUUUUAAUUAAUAAAAUUUACAUGAUCCACAUGUUAUCAAUUUAUAGAGGUUGUAUUGUAUAAGAAAAUCUACCCAAAAUUCAUAGAUUUUUGAAAUAUCUAUAGUCGAUUUGCUAUUUCGCUACAAGUUCUUUAGGCUAGAUUUCGGAUUUUCUUAAUUUAAGUAAAAUUUACUAAUAAUUGUUACUGGAUCUUGUGCAUCUAUGUUUAUGAAGAUUAAUUUAUUAUGGUUUAUGAUAAAUACUAGUCUAAGGGUAAGUAGGUAGCAUUAAUUAAUAUACCAACUUAAAAUUAUUGUGUAACAUAAUAUUAUUAUAAAUAUCAUGCCUUGGUUGGCAUUAUUUUGCAAUUUCAUUUAAAACAUAAACAGAAAUCAAAUUUCUUUAGGGAUGGCAAGACUUUGUGGCUCUUAUUUUGCCCUCAUUUUAUUUGCUCUUUUAGGUAUGUGCUAUAUAUAUAUAUAUAUAUAUAUAUAUAUAUAUAUAUGUUCAAACUUUUCUUAUCCGAGUGUUCUAUGAAAUAGAUUUCUUUAUUGACCCAAAAAAAGUUAUAUAUAUUGUAUUAAAGAAAUAAUUACAUUAGACAGGAUGCUCGAUUACAGUUCGAUUAAUGUUUCAAGCUAAUAUCAAGAAGUCUAUGUCGGACGUCGACAAUUCGAUUCAAAUUUAUGUGGAUUGGACUUCUUUGAUAAGUUUUCUUUUUCAUAUUUUAAUAUUCUGCAAAAGUUAUUGUAACUAAUUUUUCUCCAAUGGAAAAUAUAAAUGGUCAAGAAUCAAAACAUUUCAGUGGUUAAACGGUGAAAAUAAAAUGGUCGAUUUUGAGAAAACGACUGAUUUUGGGGUUGAACCAGUGGAUGUCGAGGUUAUUUUGAUAAGUUGUAAUUUCCGAUGUUUUUACUCAUAAUUAGAUUCAACCAACCGAUCUGGUCUUGUUCAUUUAAUAUUGUUACAGGACACGUUAAUGAGUGUUUUAAUUAAAAAAGUAAAUAUCAAAUACCUAAAAAUUAAGUAAAAAAAUAAAUGAAAAAUCUCUUAAUCUACUUAUUGAUGUGAUUAUUUAAAGCAAAAUAUGAUCAUUGUAAUCUAUAUUUUUAUUUUUUAUAUUGUUUUAUUUUAUUUUAUUUGUUACAGUUACCAAAUUGACAUCUCAAGUGGACGGUCUCGCUGAUGCUCGUGCUUAUGCUCCGCAGUCCCAAUGCAAGCUUUCGUUAAUUGAUCACGCAUGUGAGCGUAAAACUUGUGGAUCGCAGUGCCUUGAAAAUUACAAAGGAAUAGGAAACUGCAUUUAUGUUGGCUUUGGAGAAAUGUGCUUUUGUUUUUACGAUUGUCAUUAGCCAAUGGAUUUUAUAUUAGUAAUUUGGUUUAAUCCAACCAAAUUGACAUUGUUCGAAUUAUCAAUUAUAUAUUAAUUCUUGAUUUUAUGAAAUCAAUUUUUCAGUAGUAAGAUUGCAUAUCUACUAUGAGUCCUGUUUGAUUCUCAUUUUUU